rnacentral:rRNA from 1 species
GCCUGAGAAACGGCUACCACAUCCAAGGAAGGCAGCAGGCACGCAAAUUACCCAAUCCCGGCCCAGGGAGGUAGUGACGAAAAAUAACAAUGCGGGACUCAUCCGAGUCUGCGUAAUUGGAAUGAGCACACUUUAAGUCCUUUAGCGACAACCGAUUGGAGGGCAAGUCUGGUGCCAGCAGCCGCGGUAAUUCCAGCUCCAAUAGCGUAUAUUAAAGUUGUUGCGGUUAAAAAGCUCGUAGUCCGAGUUCAGUUCCGGACUGGCCGGGGAGGUCGCCGCCCGGCGCUUCCCCGCCAGGCUCCGAACGCAGGCCUCCCUCACAAGGGGGGGCCGCAGCCGGUUUCGCCGGGGUCCCCUUCACCGGGUGUCCCGCGCGGCCGGCCCGUUCACCUUGAACAAAUGAGAGUGCUCAGAGCAGGCUACUCCAAGUAAAAGCCCGAAUGUUACCUGCAUGGAAUGAUGGAAGAUGAUCUCGGUUCCAUCCUGGUCUGGGAAUCCGAGAUAAUGAUAAACAGGGACUGUCGGGGGCAUCCGUACUACGACGCGAGAGGUGAAAUUCAGUGACCGUCGUAGGACGAACGACAGCGAAAGCAUUUGCCAAGAAUGUCUUCGUUGAUCAAGAACGAAAGUUAGAGGAUCGAAGGCGAUCAGAUACCGCCCUAGUUCUAACCCUAAACGAUGCUGACUAGCAAUCCGCCGUCGCUAUUCCCAUGGCGUGGCGGGCCGCCCCCGGGAAACCUCAAGUUUUUGAGUUCCGGGGGUAGUAUGGUUGCAAAACUGAAACUUAAAGGAAUUGACGGAAGGGCACCACCAGGAGUGGAGCCUGCGGCUUAAUUUGACUCAACACGGGAAACCUCACCAGGCCCGGACACCAGAAGGAUUGACAGAUUAAGAGCUCUUUCUCGAUUUGGUGGGUGGUGGUGCAUGGCCGUUCUUAGUUGGUGGAGUGAUUUGUCUGGUUAAUUCCGGUAACGAACGAGACUCUGGCCUGCUAACUAGUCGACGUGGGUCCGCUGUGCACGGGCCCCGUAUCGACCCUAUAUCUUCUUAGAGGGAUGAGCAGCGAGUCUAGCUGCAGGAGAUUGAGCAAUAACAGGUCUGUGAUGCCCUUAGAUGUCCUGGGCCGCACGCGCGCUACACUGGACGGGUCAGCGGGUUCGCCUUCUCCGAGAGGAGCGGGAAAUCGCUGCAAACCCGUCCGUGAUAGGGAUUGGGGCUUGCCAUUGUUUCCCAUGAACGAGGAAUUCCCAGUAAGCGCAAGUCAUCAGCUUGCGUUGAUUAAGUCCCUGCCCUUUGUACACACCGCCCGUCGCUACUACCGAUUGAAUGAUUUAGUGAGGCCUUCGGACUGGCGGUCCUGGACUGGGUUCCGCUCUCCGGCGGACCCGGCCACCACUCGCCGGAAAGAUGUCCAAACUUGAUCAUUUAGAGGAAGUAAAAGUCGUAACAAGGUUUCC